AGCGAACGCUGGCGGCAGGCUUAACACAUGCAAGUCGAGCGGGCACCUUCGGGUGUCAGCGGCAGACGGGUGAGUAACACGUGGGAACGUACCCUUCGGUUCGGAAUAACGCUGGGAAACUAGCGCUAAUACCGGAUACGCCCUUAUGGGGAAAGGUUUACUGCCGAAGGAUCGGCCCGCGUCUGAUUAGCUAGUUGGUGGGGUAACGGCCUACCAAGGCGACGAUCAGUAGCUGGUCUGAGAGGAUGAUCAGCCACACUGGGACUGAGACACGGCCCAGACUCCUACGGGAGGCAGCAGUGGGGAAUAUUGGACAAGGGGCGCAAGCCUGAUCCAGCCAUGCCGCGUGAGUGAUGAAGGCCUUAGGGUUGUAAAGCUCUUUUGUCCGGGACGAUAAUGACGGUACCGGAAGAAUAAGCCCCGGCUAACUUCGUG
rnacentral:rRNA from 1 species